rnacentral:rRNA from 1 species
UACAGAGGUCCCAAGCGUUGUUCGGAUUCACUGGGCGUAAAGGGUGCGUAGGUGGCAUGGCCAGUUUGAUGUGAAAGCUCAGGGCUUAACCCUGAAAUGGCAUUGAAUACUGCUGUGCUGGAGGUUUGGAGGGGGGGACUGGAAUUCUUGGUGUAGCAGUGAAAUGCGUAGAUAUCAAGAGGAACACCAGUGGCGAAGGCGAGUCCCUGGACAACACCUGACACUGAGGCACGAAAGCUAGGGGGAGCAAACAGG